rnacentral:rRNA from 1 species
UACGAAGGGGGCUAGCGUUGUUCGGAAUCACUGGGCGUAAAGCGCGCGUAGGCGGAUUGUUAAGUCAGGGGUGAAAUGCCGAGGCUCAACCUCGGAACUGCCUUUGAUACUGGAUGGCUUGAAUUCGGGAGAGGGAUGCGGAAUUCCAGGUGUAGCGGUGAAAUGCGUAGAUAUCUGGAGGAACACCGAUGGCGAAGGCAGGUCUCUGGGCAUUAACUGACGCUGAGGAGCGAAAGCAUGGGGAGCGAACAGG